rnacentral:rRNA from 1 species
CCCUUAGAUGUUCUGGGCCGCACGCGCGCUACACUGAUGGAUUCAACGAGUGUUGUUCUUCGGAGCAGAUCCUUGGUCGGAAGGCCUGGGCAAUCUUGUAAAUGUCCAUCGUGAUGGGGCUAGAUUUUUGCAAUUCUGAAUCUCCAACGAGGAAUUCCUAGUGAACGCAAGUCAUCAGCUUGCAUUGAUUACGUCCCUGCCCUUUGUACACACCGCCCGUCGCACCUACCGAUUGAAUGGUCCGGUGAAGUCUUCGGACUGGCAGCAUGUAUGUGCUUGCCGGGAAGUUGAGUAAACCUUACCAUUUAGAGGAAGGUGAAGUCGUAACA